UUCCAGGGGAAGGUUUGUCCGCCCUGGGGAAGUCGGGACCUAAGCAUAAGCAAAACUGUGAUGGCGAAUGGAAAACAGGUUAAUAUUCCUGUACCACUAUUAUCGCCCGAGAGACGGAGUGACGCAGGAAGGUAUGUGGGAAGGCUGACGGAAUAGCCUUUCCAAGGGCGCAGCAUGGACACGCAGGCAAAUCCGCGUGUCUAAAUGUGAGACCUGACGGGGAAGUGCAUUGGCAUAAGCCACAGAUCCUACACUGCCGAGAAAAACUUCUAUCGAUGAGAAAUAGUGCCCGUACUGUAAACCGACACAGGUGGACAGAGUGAGAAACUUAAGGCCGACAGGAUAACUCUAGCUAAGGAACUCUGCAAAAUAGCCCCGUAACUUCGGGAGAAGGGGUGCCUGACAUACCUGAGGGGAGAGACACCUCAAGGGGAAACAGGCCGCAGUGAAGAGUCCCAAGCAACUGUUUACCAAAAACACAGGUCUAUGCUAAGCCGGAAGGCGACGUAUAUGGGCUGACACCUGCCCAGUGCCGGAAGGUUAAGAGGAGGAUUGAGAGAUCCGAUUUGAAGCCCCGGUGAACGGCGGCCGUAACUAUAACGGUCCUAAGGUAGCGAAAUUCCUUGUCGGGUAAGUUCCGACCUGCACGAAUGGUGAAAUGAUUUGGGAGCUGUCUUGGCUGGAGACCUGGUGAAGUUGUAAUGCCGGUGAAGAUACCGGCUACCUGCAGUAGGACGGAAAGACCCCGUGGAGCUUUACUGCAGUCUGGCAUUGGGUUCUGGCUGUGUGUGUAUAGGAUAGUUGGGAGACUGUGAGGCCAAGGCGUCAGUCUUGGCAGAGUCGCCGUUGGAAUACCAACCAUAUGCCGCCGGAAUUCUAAUCUGGUGACGGAGACAGUGCUAGAUGGGCAGUUUGACUGGGGCGGUCGCCUCCAAAAGAGUAACGGAGGCGUUCAAAGGUUCCCUCAGGCUGGAUGGAAAUCAGCCUAGGAGUGCAAACGCAUAAGGGAGCUUGACUGCAAGACUGACAGGUCGAGCAGGCACGAAAGUGGGAGUUAGUGAUCCGGCGGUUCCGUAUGGAAGGACCGUCGCUCAACGGAUAAAAGCUACCCCGGGGAUAACAGGCUGAUACUUCCCAAGAGUCCAUAUCGACGGAAGUGUUUGGCACCUCGAUGUCGGCUCGUCUCAUCCUGGGGCUGGAGAAGGUCCCAAGGGUUGGGCUGUUCGCCCAUUAAAGAGGCACGCGAGCUGGGUUCAGAACGUCGUGAGACAGUUCGGUCCCUAUCCACUGCAGGCGCCUGAAUACUGAAAAGUUCUGACCUUAGUACGAGAGGACCGGGUUGGACAGACCUCUGAUGUACCAGUUGUCACGCCAGUGGCAUGGCUGGGUAGUCACGUCUGGAACGGAUAACCGCUGAAAGCAUCUAAGCGGGAAGCCGGCUUUGAGAUGAGUGUUCGCAGUAUCCAUGGAGAACACAUGGCUGAUAGGCCAGGGGUGUAAGUGCAGCAAUGCAUUCAGCUGACUGGUACUAAUAUUACAUCCGCUUUUUAAU
rnacentral:rRNA from 1 species